CUCAAUUUAUUUUUGGACUGCCAUGGCGCCUGUUCCUUCCAUUUGUAGGAAGGGGGGUCGAGUUGGGCUCAACAUGAACCUGACGUUCUGACACUCCAGGCUGGGACAAGCAGGCAGCAGCCGGCGGGCCGCCCCCCAAGCAGCAGCCGCACAGGGGAACCUGCCUGGAGUGCUCUGAAAAUCAGCAACAAGUUUAUACCUGGGUGCAGAAGCACUCAUGGCUGUCGCUUAUGGUACUGCCAACCAGUCAGGCCUGCUUUCCCAGCAGUACCCUCCCCCUCUGCUGCCUAAGCCUGGAAAGGACAAUGUUCGGCUUCAGAAGCUCCUCAAGAGAACUGCUAAGAGAAAGGCUUCUGCUCAGGCAUCACAAUCUGCCGCACCUUUCCGCUCCAGCCUUUCCCCUGUGAAUGAAGCAAGCCCUGACCUUGAGCACAGUGACCACUCCACACCUACCAAGACUCCUGAGACAA